GAUGACUCUGAUGAGUCCGAGAAGAAAAAGAAGAGUUCUUUCUUCAACUGGUUCUAUUUUUCAAUAAACAUUGGGGCUCUUUUUGCUUCCUCUGUGCUUGUUUGGAUACAAACAAAUGUUGGUUGGGGUUGGGGCUUUGGUAUCCCAGCUGUGGCAAUGGCCAUUGCGGUUGUAAGUUUCUUCUCAGGCACCAAGUUGUAUAGAAACCAGAGACCUGCAGGAAG
rnacentral:misc_RNA from 1 species